UCCUACGGGAGGCAGCAGUGAGGAAUAUUGGUCAAUGGUCGGGAGACUGAACCAGCCAAGCCGCGUGAGGGAGGAAGGUACAGAGUAUCGUAAACCUCUUUUGUCAGGGAACAAAGGCGGGGACGUGUCCCCGGAUGAGUGUACCUGAAGAAAAAGCAUCGGCUAACUCCGUGCCAGCAGCCGCGGUAAUACGGAGGAUGCGAGCGUUAUCCGGAUUUAUUGGGUUUAAAGGGUGCGCAGGCGGUCUGUUAAGUCAGCGGUCAAGGCCCGGGGCGCAACCCCGGCCCGCCGUUGAAACUGGCAGU
rnacentral:rRNA from 1 species